UCGGGAAUUUUGAAGAGCUGUCUUGUCUAGCCUCACUAGAAAAAGGAUGAUGAGAUUGAUGACGUCCGCGAAAGCUAAGGAAACUUCGUCCUACGUCGCUCUACGUCGUUCUACACCUGUUUUCGUCGUUCUGCUUCAAGACUAAAGGUUAAAGUUAAAUGGAAGCCAAGAGAAGAGAUGUUAUCCUAAAUAAUCUAUACAACUAGAGGGACUUCAGCCACAUCCUCCCUUGGUAAGAAGUUUAGGGAGUGGAGAUUCUACCAGCCUUGCAAAGUUUCCAGUUAUCCCAUGAGAGAGACCUUGAUCACCUAUCCCAUGUGAGAGAUUGACGAUCCCGAAAACGAAUACUGCGUGCAUACUAUAACAAUGCUGGUACCGAGUGGCCGAGCCACGCCACCACGUGUACAUAAUAGAUGCAUGAUGGGAGGGACGCUGGCCAAUAGGAGAGAAGGAUUUCAUGGCCGCGACUAGCAUCAGGAACCAAUGGGAGAGCAGGAGGAUGGUGGCGAGUCUACUAGUACUAAGAUGGCGGCACGCAGCACGAUUUUCAAAAUUGUUAUCCGGGCGAAUCUCGGACUUUCAGAAACCUUUCGUAUCUUGAAAACUUUUCGUAUGUCAAAUUUUUCGUAUUGGCUUUCGUAUCUCGAGUUUUUCGUAAGUUGAGCCUUUCAUAUCUCGAGGUACUACUGUACUUCAGUUUUUCUACUCUGAAAACCUUUUCAAAUGAAAAGGCAUUGUGGUUCUCAAAUUGUUUGAUCUUGAACUUGGUGGAAAAUUCAAUCUACAGUAUAAGGAAAUCCUUUUUAAAAGUUACCAAACCAACAUUGUCAAAUAGGUAUUUACUGUUGAUGAGAUGUAAUUUCAGAUCUCCCAUUUUCCCAUCAAAAGUAACAUCUUUCAGGGAUAGAAUGUUAUAUACGGUAAGCGUAAGUGUCCGCUUUUAAUAUUUACAGUGAAAGUGUUGCUCAUUUACGUUCACAGAUAAUUUUAUUUCACUUAAUUGGUUAAGAUCUUAACACCACAAAGUUUAUUUGUCAAGUUAGUUAUUCAGAUUUGAAAAUUUAGGAUUUAAACUGAUGCAUGAUGAUAGUGUAAGGUGAAAAGAUCAUUACUGUAGCACAGCCAUUAAAGAAAACUGUAGAAAAGUGCUGUGGAAUUAGAUGUAAACAUGAGACUUGAGAGACAGGACCAUUUCCAUGUCAGCCCU